GACGAACGCUGGCGGCGUGCCUAAUACAUGCAAGUAGAACGCUGAAGAGAGGAGCUUGCUCUUCUUGGAUGAGUUGCGAACGGGUGAGUAACGCGUAGGUAACCUGCCUGGUAGAGGGGGAUAACUAUGGGAAACGAUAGCUAAUACCGCAUAAAAUGGAUUAUCGCAUGAUACACCAUUGAAAGGUGCAAAUGCAUCACUAACAGGAGGACCUGGGUUGACUUAGCUAGUUGGGGGGGUAACGGCCCACCAAGGGAACGUUCCCUAGCCGCCCUGGAUGGGUGACGGCCAACCCUGGACUGGAGCACCGCCCAGACCUCUUCGGGAAGCCGCCGGAGGGGAUUUUCGGCAAUGGACCGAAGUCUUACCGAGCAACGCCGGGGUGGUGAAGAAGGGUUUCGGAUCGUUAAGCUCCGUUGUAUGGGAAGAACGAGUGUGAGAGUGGAAAGUUCACACUGUGACGGUACCUUACCAGAAAGCGACGGCUAACUACGUG
rnacentral:rRNA from 1 species